UACGAACGCUGGCGGCAUGCCUAACACAUGCAAGUCGAACGAUCCCUUCGGGGAUAGUGGCGCACGGGUGCGUAACGCGUGGGAAUCUGCCCUCAGGUACGGAAUAACUCAGGGAAACUUGAGCUAAUACCGUAUAAUGACUUCGGUCCAAAGAUUUAUCGCCUGGGGAUGAGCCCGCGUCGGAUUAGCUAGUUGGUGAGGUAAAAGCUCACCAAGGCGACGAUCCGUAGCUGGUCUGAGAGGAUGAUCAGCCACACUGGGACUGAGACACGGCCCAGACUCCUACGGGAGGCAGCAGUGGGGAAUAUUGGACAAUGGGCGCAAGCCUGAUCCAGCAAUGCCGCGUGAGUGAUGAAGGCCUUAGGGUUGUAAAGCUCUUUUACCCGGGAAGAUAAUGACUGUACCGGGAGAAUAAAGCCCCGGCUAACUCCGUGCCAGCAGCCGCGGUAAUACGGAGGGGGCUAGCGUUGUUCGGAAUUACUGGGCGUAAAGCGCACGUA
rnacentral:rRNA from 1 species